UACUAUUCGUCUUUUACGUUAGUGCUGACUGAGCUUUGACACGUCCUUAUUGGCCGUCUGCUUUCUUCAUCCCGUGGCCGGGCCAGUAACAAAGAUGUGCCGAUACUAAGUCGGUAUAUCAAUCGAGCCGAGUGCGGCAAGUGAUCGUUUCCCCCUGCCUCCCCAACCGGUUAGGUGAUUUUGCGGUUUUCAGAUGGAAAGUAGGCGAAUUGUAGGUCUAUGGCUUAAGUCUGUAUCAAUGAUCAUCAUUACAAUCAGUGGUGAUUCAUUGCCCUCUUGCGGCAAAUUUAGGAAAAUCUAGUUAGAGUUGCUGGAACCACAGACGAGGUGUAUCGUCUGUGCUGGAACUUUCUUAUCCGGUUCCAGCAAACCAUCUGGUUUUGCGUUUACAAGUCUUGUGUUUUGAUAAGUAUCGUCAUUUUCGAUGAUGUAUUAAAAUCAAUUUUUUACAUGUAACAGUAACAUUGAUGUAGUACACAUUUAUCUAUACUGAUAUUGUUUAGUUAGUGAUAAAAAUGACAUAUUUAAGUUCAUGGGAAGAAUUCGAGAAAGGGGCAGAGAGGUUAUAUCUUCAAGAUCCAAUGAAAACUCGGUAUACAAUGAAAUAUUGCCAUAGUAAAGGUAUCUUAUGUCUAAAACUUACAGAUAAUCGAACGUGCCUACAAUAUAAAACAGAGAUAGCACAGGACUUAAAGAAGAUGGAAAAAUUUAUAGGAAAUUUAAUGAGGCACAUGGCAUCUAAGGAGAGCUAAAUAAAGGACUAGAUAAGAUUAGGGACACUUUUUUUAAAUAAGGAAUAAAAGUGCUGCGCAUUUAAUUCAUUGUUUAUGGUUCAUUUCAUAAGUUUCAGUGACUGAUGGGAUUAUUGAUAUUUAAUUUGAAUGAGGUCGUUCAACGGUCGGUCGUUUCAAAUACCGGGACACCUAAAGGGGAUUCUCGCCGGUGUGACACAGAUAUAUCAAUACACAACGAAUUUCGAUCGGCUUUUGUAAUAGUCUCGAUGCUCCCAGAUACCAACGUUCGUUCGACGAGAGUACACAAUGCAAUUACCACAAACACAAUUACACAACAAAACGUUUAACAGGAUACGGAGGGCACAGACAUGAUACGGACACAGGAGAACGAACGGGGAAUUGCUACGGUUCCGAGGACGUAUACUUCCACGCGGAUACUUCCGUGGAAUAGCAAAAAGCAUCAGUGGGUGCCAGCCAGGAAAUAAAUACACAGGUGCGAAAAGCUGUUAACCUCAUCGAUUUAUUAAGGGUCUGU